rnacentral:ribozyme from 13 species
AGAGAGAAAAAGAAAUUGAAAAUGAAAGAGGUGAAGCAAGAAAAAGAGAGAGAGAAGAUCCACUCUGCCCCUGCUGUGCCUUCUUUUGUAGUUCCUCCUCCUCGUCCUUCUUCUUCUUCAUCAUCAUCUUCUUCCUACUCAU